UCGGGAAUAUUGCGCAAUGGAGGAAACUCUGACGCAGUGACGCCGCGUGCAGGAAGAAGGUUUUCGGAUUGUAAACUGCUUUAGACAGGGAAGAAAAAAAGACAGUACCUGUAGAAUAAGCUCCGGCUAACUACGUGCCAGCAGCCGCGGUAAUACGUAGGGAGCAAGCGUUAUCCGGAUUUAUUGGGUGUAAAGGGUGCGUAGACGGAGAAGCAAGUUAGUUGUGAAAUCCCUCGGCUUAACCGAGGAACUGCAACUAAACUACUUCCCUUGAGUGCUGGAGAGGAAAGUGGAAUUCCUAGUGUAGCGGUGAAAUGCGUAGAUAUUAGGAGGAACACCAGUGGCGAAGGCGACUUUCUGGACAGUAACUGACGUUGAGGCACGAAAGUGUGGGGAGCAAACAGGAUUAGAUACCC
rnacentral:rRNA from 1 species